GGGUUCUCAGUGUUGACAGGCUAGUGAUACAGUAGUUGAACUACUUAUAGGACCACUCUGCCACUAUAAUUCGAUCAGUACGAAAUAUUUUAUUGAAAUGUGUUAGAUUUUUGUAAUCAAUCUAUUUUUUAAUUUUAAUUGUACUAUUUUAUUUAUUUUGUUUAAUAUAACAAGUAUGUGGAGUCCGAACAGGGUGAAAUUUGGGUCAAAGGGAGGCAAUUUAUUAUACCCCUGUUUAACUCCACAUACUUGAAAUUCCCUCAAUGUUAGGAUUUUCAUUUACUUGGAUAUUCAUGUUUGUACAUUUUUUUUUAAUAUCAGAUGUAUACUAGCUAAUAUUGACUAUUAUUUAGAGCUCUGUAAUAAAAAAAGAUAAAUGUAAGCAGAGCUCUAGAUAAUAAGUAUGCAGGGUGGGAGAAAUCUUGGGUCAUUAACAAUUGAUUUGCUGAAAUUUUCAAGAAAGGGUAUUUAUGGAAAUGCAUCUGAUAUAUUUAAUGUAUAAAACUAUAUUUAAAAAAAAAGAUGUUAAAAUGAUGAGGAGAGCCACCUUGUCAGCCGGGAGAGCAGCUCUAAGGGAGAUGGUCAAUUUAAUCUUCACCAAAUCUGAGGCUUUACCAUGAAAAAUAUGUGGUUGUUAUAAUGAUGAUGUUUUCAUGGUGUUGGGAGUAAGACUUGGAUGUCUGAUAUUGUUAACAUGUUGGUUAGCAUCAGGUUUCCAUUGGGUUACUUCCUGGGAUAAAGCUGUUAUAAGUCGAAAGAGUUGCUGUUGCUGCCUUCCGUGUAUGGUAAAAUCCUCAGACUACAAUCCUGCAAACCAUUGGAUAAACUGUUGCUAUCUUUUGUAAAAAAAUCAGCAGAUAUUUGUCUUAUAAGCAGAAUGAAUUAUAAAUGCAAUGAAUUUUUAAUGCUUUAUUAUUCAAAUUAUAAAUAUUUAUUUCAUUAAUUUUUCUUGCAUUCAAUUAUUGUUUUGUGGUUGAAGAAAUAUAAAAAAAAAAACUGUGAAAUUAUUGUUAUUUGAGAGGUCCCAAAGGUAUGAUGUAUGGUUUCACAAGAUACCCAUAAGACUUGCUUCAGUUUACAUAUAUUUUUUAAGUUAUGUACACUGGUAAAGAAUUAUAAGUCCUUUGUGAAAUGAUUUUUUCUGGUUAGAAACCUAUUAAGUAGGACUUUGAUGGCCAAACACUAAAAGGGAAUAAAACAAAUCCCCUAUUAAACAAUUUAAGUACUGGGUUUUUGGUGCAAUAAGAACUAGAAAUAAAAAUGUUUAGUUAGAUGUUUUUUUUUUACUCUGCAUUCUUUACAUUCAUACAAAUUAAUGGCUGUCAGUUUUAUUUAUUGGAUUU